UUGGUCCCUAUAAAUUAGAGUGGUCAGCAUGAACUACUUUUAUGCCGCACCAAUGGAGUUUGGGAGACUAUUAUUAACUGGGUUCUUGGUUUUAUGUGUUCUAGGUGUGAGUGGUAAGGAGCUGCAACGCUCAGCUCCUUGUAAGUUUCCAGCAAUCUACAACUUUGGUGACUCAAAUUCAGACACUGGAGGCAUAUCAGCAGCAUUUGAUCCCAUUAUAGCACCAUAUGGUGAUUCAUUCUUUCAUAAGCCUGCUGGAAGGGACUCUGAUGGUCGGGUACUCAUAGACUUCAUAGCUGAGCGCCUAAGAUUGCCAUACUUGAGUGCAUACUUGAAUUCACUCGGAACAAAUUACCGGCAUGGAGCAAAUUUUGCCACUGGAGGAUCAACUAUUAGAAGGCAAAAUGAAACCAUAUUUGAAAAUGGCAUUAGUCCUUUCUCUCUUGACAUCCAGAUUGUGCAAUUCCUGCAGUUCAAAGCACGCACUGCUGAUCUCUACAACCAAGCCAAGACAAGAAACAAUCUUCCCAGACCCCAGGACUUCUCCAAGGCUCUUUACACAUUUGAUAUUGGUCAGAAUGAUCUUUCUGCUGGUUUUCGAAAGAUGAGCUUCGACCAACUUCGUGCAGCAUUGCCAGACAUUGUCAAUCAGUUAGCCACAGCAGUCCAACGCAUAUAUCAACAAGGGGGGAGGACAUUCUGGAUACACAACACGGGGCCUAUUGGAUGCUUGCCUUUGAAUUUUUUUUACAAUCAUAAUCCACCGCCUGGCUAUCUGGACCAGCAAGGCUGUGUCAAGGGUCAAAAUGACAUGGCUGUAGGGUUCAACAAGCAGCUCAAGGACAGGGUGAUCAAACUAAGGGCAGAGCUCCCAGAAGCAGCAAUAACAUAUGUGGAUCUAUAUGCUGCAAAAUAUGGACUAAUCAGCAAUGCAAAUAAUUAAGGAUUUGCCGAUCCCCUGAAGGUCUGCUGUGGGUAUCAUGUGAAUUACGAUCAUGUAUGGUGUGGGUCAAAAGCAAUUGUAAAUGGAAGUGAGGUGUAUGGUGCUUCUUGUACUAAUCCUUCACAGUAUGUUAGCUGGGAUGGUGUGCACUACUCUCAGGCUGCCAAUCAGUGGUUUGCUAAUCACAUACUCAAUGGUUCACUCUCAGACCCACCAAUUCCAAUUAUCCAAGCAUGUCAAAGGCGUUAGUGUGAUCAAAAUCAUAUGUCAAACAUCAUAAAUUAGUACUAGUAGUUGCAGGCGUGGGACAGUUACAAUUUUUUGUGUGGUGUUGAUGUUAUUUUUUUUGUUCAGUAAAAAGUUUGGUACCUCUUCCAACUACACAAUAGAGUCACCAACAUAAAGAGCUUGCUUCAUGCGGCCUUAUGUUGUCAUAUUAACUAUUUUAAGUGCUUGUAUGAAAAAAUAUAUAUAUAUGAUCACUCUUGUUUGAGAAU